UAGGUGGCAAGCGUUAUCCGGAAUUACUGGGUGUAAAGGGUGUGUAGGCGGGACUGCAAGUCAGAUGUGAAAACUCAGGGCUCAACCCUGAGCCUGCAUUUGAAACUGUAGUUCUUGAGUGCUGGAGAGGCAAUCGGAAUUCCGUGUGUAGCGGUGAAAUGCGUAGAUAUACGGAGGAACACCAGUGGCGAAGGCGGAUUGCUGGACAGUAACUGACGCUGAGGCGCGAAAGCGUGGGGAGCAAA
rnacentral:rRNA from 1 species